rnacentral:rRNA from 1 species
GUCUGUUCUGCCCACUGAAGUAAAAUUUAAAGGGCCGCGGUAUAUUGACUGUGCAAAGGUAGCAUAAUCAUUAGUUUUUUAAUUGAAGGCUUGUAUGAAUGAUUUGACAAGAAUUGAUCUGUCUUUUUUCUAAAAGGUUAAUUUUAUUUUUAAGUGAGAAAGCUUAAAUAAGUUAGAGGGACGAUAAGACCCUAUAAAUCUUUAUGUUAUUUAUUUUGUUUUAAAAAAUAUGUAGUUAAGAAAUUUUGCAAAGUAAAAGCAUUUUGCUGGGGCGGUGUUAAUAUAUGUGUUUUAAUAAACUGUUAGUUUUUCUUUACAUGAUGUUUGAAUGGUAAAUGAUCUUAAAUAUAAAUUAAAAGUUUAAGUUACUUUAGGGAUAACAGCAUAAUUUCUUUUGAGAGUUCUAAUCGAAAAAGAAGAUUGUGACCUCGAUGUUGAAUUAAAAUUUCUUUUUAAUGCAGAAGUUAAAUGAGAGAGUCUGUUCGACUUUUAAUUUUUUACAUGAUUUG